rnacentral:rRNA from 1 species
CGGACUGUAGGCUGCAACUCGCCUACACGAAGUUGGAAUUGCUAGUAAUCGUGGAUCAGCAUGCCACGGUGAAUACGUUCCCGGGUCUUGUACACACCGCCCGUCACACCAUGGGAGCUGGUAACACCCGAAGUCAGUAGUCUAACCGCAAGGAGGACGCUGCCGAAGGUGGGAUUAGCGACUGGGGUGAAGUCGUAACAAGGUAGC